rnacentral:Y_RNA from 1 species
GGCUGGUCUGAGGGUACGGAAUUAUCUCAAUUGAUUAUUCAUAGUUAUAGACUGAACUCCUUGUUCUACUACUUUCCUCUCUUCUCACUAUUGCACUUGACUAGUCUAAA